GGUUAAGCGACUAAGCGUACACGGUGGAUGCCCUGGCAGUCAGAGGCGAUGAAGGACGUGCUAAUCUGCGAUAAGCGUCGGUGAGGUGAUAUGAACCGUUAUAACCGGCGAUUUCCGAAUGGGGAAACCCAGUGUGUUUCGACACACUAUCAUUAACUGAAUCCAUAGGUUAAUGAGGCGAACCGGGGGAACUGAAACAUCUAAGUACCCCGAGGAAAAGAAAUCAACCGAGAUUCCCCCAGUAGCGGCGAGCGAACGGGGAGGAGCCCAGAGCCUGAAUCAGUGUGUGUGUUAGUGGAAGCGUCUGGAAAGGCGUGCGAUACAGGGUGACAGCCCCGUACACAAAAAUGCACAUAUUGUGAGCUCGAUGAGUAGGGCGGGACACGUGGUAUCCUGUCUGAAUAUGGGGGGACCAUCCUCCAAGGCUAAAUACUCCUGACUGACCGAUAGUGAACCAGUACCGUGAGGGAAAGGCGAAAAGAACCCCGGCGAGGGGAGUGAAAAAGAACCUGAAACCGUGUACGUACAAGCAGUGGGAGCCUCUUAAUGGGGUGACUGCGUACCUUUUGUAUAAUGGGUCAGCGACUUAUAUUCUGUAGCAAGGUUAACCGAAUAGGGGAGCCGAAGGGAAACCGAGUCUUAACUGGGCGUUAAGUUGCAGGGUAUAGACCCGAAACCCGGUGAUCUAGCCAUGGGCAGGUUGAAGGUUGGGUAACACUAACUGGAGGACCGAACCGACUAAUGUUGAAAAAUUAGCGGAUGACUUGUGGCUGGGGGUGAAAGGCCAAUCAAACCGGGAGAUAGCUGGUUCUCCCCGAAAGCUAUUUAGGUAGCGCCUCGUGAAUUCAUCUCCGGGGGUAGAGCACUGUUUCGGCAAGGGGGUCAUCCCGACUUACCAACCCGAUGCAAACUGCGAAUACCGGAGAAUGUUAUCACGGGAGACACACGGCGGGUGCUAACGUCCGUCGUGAAGAGGGAAACAACCCAGACCGCCAGCUAAGGUCCCAAAGUCAUGGUUAAGUGGGAAACGAUGUGGGAAGGCCCAGACAGCCAGGAUGUUGGCUUAGAAGCAGCCAUCAUUUAAAGAAAGCGUAAUAGCUCACUGGUCGAGUCGGCCUGCGCGGAAGAUGUAACGGGGCUAAACCAUGCACCGAAGCUGCGGCAGCGACACUAUGUGUUGUUGGGUAGGGGAGCGUUCUGUAAGCCUGUGAAGGUGGCCUGUGAGGGUUGCUGGAGGUAUCAGAAGUGCGAAUGCUGACAUAAGUAACGAUAAAGCGGGUGAAAAGCCCGCUCGCCGGAAGACCAAGGGUUCCUGUCCAACGUUAAUCGGGGCAGGGUGAGUCGACCCCUAAGGCGAGGCCGAAAGGCGUAGUCGAUGGGAAACAGGUUAAUAUUCCUGUACUUGGUGUUACUGCGAAGGGGGACGGAGAAGGCUAUGUUGGCCGGGCGACGGUUGUCCCGGUUUAAGCGUGUAGGCUGAUUUUCCAGGCAAAUCCGGAAAAUCAAGGCUGAGGCGUGAUGACGAGGCACUACGGUGCUGAAGCGACAAAUGCCCUGCUUCCAGGAAAAGCCUCUAAGCAUCAGGUAACAUCAAAUCGUACCCCAAACCGACACAGGUGGUCAGGUAGAGAAUACCAAGGCGCUUGAGAGAACUCGGGUGAAGGAACUAGGCAAAAUGGUGCCGUAACUUCGGGAGAAGGCACGCUGAUAUGUAGGUGAAGCGACUUGCUCGUGGAGCUGAAAUCAGUCGAAGAUACCAGCUGGCUGCAACUGUUUAUUAAAAACACAGCACUGUGCAAACACGAAAGUGGACGUAUACGGUGUGACGCCUGCCCGGUGCCGGAAGGUUAAUUGAUGGGGUUAGCGGCAACGCGAAGCUCUUGAUCGAAGCCCCGGUAAACGGCGGCCGUAACUAUAACGGUCCUAAGGUAGCGAAAUUCCUUGUCGGGUAAGUUCCGACCUGCACGAAUGGCGUAAUGAUGGCCAGGCUGUCUCCACCCGAGACUCAGUGAAAUUGAACUCGCUGUGAAGAUGCAGUGUACCCGCGGCAAGACGGAAAGACCCCGUGAACCUUUACUAUAGCUUGACACUGAACAUUGAGCCUUGAUGUGUAGGAUAGGUGGGAGGCUUUGAAGUGUGGACGCCAGUCUGCAUGGAGCCGACCUUGAAAUACCACCCUUUAAUGUUUGAUGUUCUAACGUUGGCCCGUAAUCCGGGUUGCGGACAGUGUCUGGUGGGUAGUUUGACUGGGGCGGUCUCCUCCUAAAGAGUAACGGAGGAGCACGAAGGUUGGCUAAUCCUGGUCGGACAUCAGGAGGUUAGUGCAAUGGCAUAAGCCAGCUUGACUGCGAGCGUGACGGCGCGAGCAGGUGCGAAAGCAGGUCAUAGUGAUCCGGUGGUUCUGAAUGGAAGGGCCAUCGCUCAACGGAUAAAAGGUACUCCGGGGAUAACAGGCUGAUACCGCCCAAGAGUUCAUAUCGACGGCGGUGUUUGGCACCUCGAUGUCGGCUCAUCACAUCCUGGGGCUGAAGUAGGUCCCAAGGGUAUGGCUGUUCGCCAUUUAAAGUGGUACGCGAGCUGGGUUUAGAACGUCGUGAGACAGUUCGGUCCCUAUCUGCCGUGGGCGCUGGAGAACUGAGGGGGCUGCUCCUAGUACGAGAGGACCGGAGUGGACGCAUCACUGGUGUUCGGGUUGUCAUGCCAAUGGCACUGCCCGGUAGCUAAAUGCGGAAGAGAUAAGUGCUGAAAGCAUCUAAGCACGAAACUUGCCCCGAGAUGAGUUCUCCCUGACUCCUUGAGAGUCCUGAAGGAACGUUGAAGACGACGACGUUGAUAGGCCGGGUGUGUAAGCGCAGCGAUGCGUUGAGCUAACCGGUACUAAUGAACCGUGAGGCUUAACCUU
rnacentral:rRNA from 1 species